CCGCCAUACCCAUCGGCUCUAUCUUCCCUGAGACAGGAAUAACCAGGAAUUUUAAAACAAAAUUCCGGUUUUAACCACGUCUCACAUAGAGCUAUAAUACAAGGGUUAAAUUUGUUAAUAAGAUAAAUUAAAUCAGAUUUGUUCUUCACUACGCUUCUGCAGUUCCAUUGUAGUACUUUGCCUAAACAUGUCCACUGGUACACCUCUUACAAGCCCCAUUCUGGUAACAUUAAAUGAUGGAAUAAAGGCUUCAUAGCCUUUUUCCAAUAAGGCAUGAUGCUUUAUAAAAGAAUUUGCAGCUGAGUGACUGGAGAAUGCCAUCGAAAUUUUGUUGCGACCGAUACGUUUCAAACUGCCUUGUACUAUGUUUGGCACCUGGUUUUUAUAUAAAAAUCUGCCAAAGCAUAUUGGAUGCAAGUUGAGAUCCUGUGUUACCUCACCAGUACUAGACCUAGCAACAUGAAUAAUGAAUGGUGAAGCAUCCAAUGCA